UACAGAGGGUGCGAGCGUUAAUCGGAAUUACUGGGCGUAAAGCGCACGUAGGCGGCUUGGUAUGUCGGGUGUGAAAUCCCCGGGCUCAACCUGGGAACUGCAUCCGAAACUGCCUUGCUAGAGUAUGGGAGAGGGAAGUGGAAUUUCCGGUGUAGCGGUGAGAUGCGUAGAUAUCGGAAGGAACAUCAGUGGCGAAGGCGACUUCCUGGACCAAUACUGACGCUCAGGUGCGAAAGCGUGGGGAGCAAACAGG
rnacentral:rRNA from 1 species